GAAGUUGGUAGAAAAAAAAAAGAAAAAUAAAAAAGGAAAAAAAUGAAUGAAAAAAAGAAGAAGGAUGUAUACACGUUAAUACAUACUCCUUCUGAAAAAGAAAAAAAAAGAGAAAGGAGAAGAGAAAACAGUUACUAUAAAGUUGUUGAAGUGAAUGGAAUAUUUUGUAAAUUCAACUCCCGCAGUUUCUUUCAAGUCUCUUUUGU
rnacentral:lncRNA from 1 species